AUUGAACGCUGGCGGCACGCCUUACACAUGCAAGUCGAACGGUAACAGGUCUUCGGAUGCUGACGAGUGGCGAACGGGUGAGUAAUACAUCGGAACGUGCCUAGUAGUGGGGGAUAACUACUCGAAAGAGUGGCUAAUACCGCAUGAGAUCUACGGAUGAAAGCAGGGGAUCGCAAGACCUUGUGCUACUAGAGCGGCCGAUGGCAGAUUAGGUAGUUGGUGGGAUAAAAGCUUACCAAGCCAACGAUCUGUAGCUGGUCUGAGAGGACGAUCAGCCACACUGGGACUGAGACACGGCCCAGACCCCUACGGGAGGCAGCAGUGGGGAAUUUUGGACAAUGGGCGCAAGCCUGAUCCAGCAAUGCCGCGUGCAGGAUGAAGGCCCUCGGGUUGUAAACUGCUUUUGUACGGAACGAAAAGCCCUGGGUUAAUACCCUGGGGUCAUGACGGUACCGUAAGAAUAAGCACCGGCUAACUACGUGCCAGCCGCCGCCGUAAGAC
rnacentral:rRNA from 1 species